rnacentral:rRNA from 1 species
AUUGAACGCUGGCGGCAUGCCUUACACAUGCAAGUCGAACGGCAGCACGGGAGCAAUCCUGGUGGCGAGUGGCGAACGGGUGAGUAAUGUAUCGGAACGUACCUUUCAGUGGGGGAUAACGUAGCGAAGUUACGCUAAUACCGCAUAUUCUGUGAGCAGGAAAGCAGGGGAUCGCAAGACCUUGCGCUGAUUGAGCGGCCGAUAUCAGAUUAGCUAGUUGGUGAGGUAAAGGCUCACCAAGGCGACGAUCUGUAGCGGGUCUGAGAGGAUGAUCCGCCACACUGGAACUGAGACACGGUCCAGACUCCUACGGGAGGCAGCAGUGGGGGAAUAUUGGACAAUGGGGGGCAACCCUGAUCCAGCCAUGCCGCGUGUGUGAAGAAGGCCUUCGGUUGUAAGACGACUUAAGUACGAGGAGGAAGGUUUUA